rnacentral:rRNA from 1 species
AUUGAACGCUGGCGGCAUGCUUUACACAUGCAAGUCGAACGGUAACAGGCCUUCGGGUGCUGACGAGUGGCGAACGGGUGAGUAAUGCAUCGGAACGUGCCUAAUCGUGGGGGAUAACGUAGCGAAAGUUACGCUAAUACCGCAUAAGCCCUGAGGGGGAAAGUGGGGGACCGCAAGGCCUCACGCGAAUGGAGCGGCCGAUGUCAGAUUAGCUAGUUGGUGGGGUAAAGGCCCACCAAGGCGACGAUCUGUAGCGGGUCUGAGAGGAUGAUCCGCCACACUGGGACUGAGACACGGCCCAGACUCCUACGGGAGGCAGCAGUGGGGAAUUUUGGACAAUGGGCGCAAGCCUGAUCCAGCCAUGCCGCGUGCGGGACGAAGGCCUCGGUU